UAGCGGCCCCUGCUCCACCCACACAGGAUCAUUACUUUUCCAGCACUAGCUACAGCCUCUGACAUAAAAGCAGCUUGCUGUUGAUACACUGCAUUGGACAUGCAUUCUAACAUUGUUCCCCAGUCAGCUGUGCGUGGGAGAGUAGCUAGUAUCAUUUUAGCUUUUGGAUUUGCAUUCUCAAAUGCAAAAGUCCUUGUUAAUUGUUCUCGUACUUCAGCAGUUAGGUCUGUUGCCUGAUCAAGUGAAACAACAAGUCUGUUAAUAAAAGAGUCAAAAGACUCAUUCAUUCCCUGUUU